rnacentral:lncRNA from 8 species
CUUGAUGGUUUUUGCAACUGCACUUGAAGAAACUUUCAAAACUCUUGACAUUUUCCGCAUUGACUGACCUUCAUGUCUUAAAGUAAUGAUGGAGUGUCAUUUCUUUUUGCUUAUUUGAGCUGUUCUUGCCAUAAUAUGGACUUGGACUUUUACCAAAUAGGGCUAUCUUCUGUAUACCACCCCUACCUUGUCACAGCACAUCUGAUUGGCUCAAACGUAUUAAGAAGGAAAUAAAUUACACAUUCACUUUUAACAAGGCACAUCUGUUAAUUGAAAGGCAUUCCAGGUGACUACCUCAUGAAUCUGGUUGAGAGAAUGCCAAGAGUGUGCAAAGCUGUCAUCAAGGCAAAGGGUGGCUAGUUUGAAGAAUCUCAAAUAUAAAAUAUAUUUUUUGAUUUGUUUAACACUUUUUUGGUUACUACAUUAUUCCAUAUGUGUUAUUUCAUAGUUUUGAUGUCUUCACUGUUAUUCUACAAUGUAGAAAAUAGUCAAAAUAAAGAAAAACCCUGGAAUGAGUAGGUGUGUCCAAACGUUUGAGCAGUACUCUAUGUGUACACACAGCGAAGCCUGGAUUUAGUAAUAUGUACUACAAAGCCCCAAAACACACACUGGUUUCACGUAGUACCUAAAUCAGAAGUACAAAACCCCAACAGACACACUGGUGCUGUAUUCAUGUGGUCGUCGGAAGGGGGAAACAUCCCAAUAAGGAAGUCGCAAUAUUGGUGUUUACAUAGGCUAUUCAAAAUGUGCUUGAAUAGAGAGACCUAUUGACUCUCCCAAUGCUCGAGGGUUAGGAAAAAGUGCCUUGGUUGAUGUAAGUAGAUUUGCAUCUGAUUAACCCAAACACUCUUUGUACUGUGGCUGCUGUUUCUAGGAAACACACACACGCACAGUGCAGUUUCUCUCUCUCUCUCACACACACACAAACACACACACACACAUACGCACACGCGCGCACACACACCUGUCAUUCACUUCUUCAAACUUGAGACCACAUACAAUGACACUGUUCAUCCAGUGGGUUGGGGCUAUGGUGGAGGAGUUGGGCAAAGAUCAAAGAGUUC